rnacentral:rRNA from 1 species
AGAAAUUCGAUUCCGUAAGUAGCGGCGAGCGAACGCGGAUUAGCCCAAACCAAUAAAGUUUUCUUUAUUGGGGUUGCGGACAUAUCAUAACGAAGAGGUAUCGUAAUUGAAGAGGUUUGGAAAGACCCACCACAGAAGGUAAUAGUCCUGUAUGUUAAACGAGAAGACUUUAGAUAUGAUCCAGAGUACCACGGGACACGUGAAACCCUGUGGGAAGCAGGAGGGACCACCCUCCAAGGCUAAAUACUACCUAGU